CUGGUCCGCCAUAGUUUGUGGGUGUGUAGAGCAGAGAAAACACACAGCAAACCCAUAAUCAAAUUGGCUGGGCCAGGGAUCGUCUUCUUGCUUCAGCUUUAUUACUUCUGUUUUAUCACGAUGACAUCAUACUUGUGGAUUUUCUUUCUUGCAAGUCUAUCAUUUGGAGCAAAUGGGCAAGACUUGGAUCUUACAGAUGAAUUCCACUAUGAACUUG